UGGGGAAUAUUGCGCAAUGGGGGGAACCCUGACGCAGCCAUGCCGCGUGAAUGAAGAAGGCCUUCGGGUUGUAAAGUUCUUUCGGUAUUGAGGAAGGAGUGUAUGUUAAUAGCAUACAUUAUUGACGUUAAAUACAGAAGAAGCACCGGCUAACUCCGUGCCAGCAGCCGCGGUAAUACGGAGGGUGCGAGCGUUAAUCGGAAUAACUGGGCGUAAAGGGCACGCAGGCGGUUAUUUAAGUGAGGUGUGAAAGCCCCGGGCUUAACCUGGGAAUUGCAUUUCAGACUGGGUAACUAGAGUACUUUAGGGAGGGGUAGAAUUCCACGUGUAGCGGUGAAAUGCGUAGAGAUGUGGAGGAAUACCGAAGGCGAAGGCAGCCCCUUGGGAAUGUACUGACGCUCAUGUGCGAAAGCGUGGGGAGCAAACAGG
rnacentral:rRNA from 1 species